rnacentral:rRNA from 1 species
AGUGAACGCUGGCGGUAGGCCUAACACAUGCAAGUCGAACGGCAGCACAGUAAGAGCUUGCUCUUACGGGUGGCGAGUGGCGGACGGGUGAGGAAUACAUCGGAAUCUACUUUUUCGUGGGGGAUAACGUAGGGAAACUUACGCUAAUACCGCAUACGACCUACGGGUGAAAGCAGGGGAUCUUCGGACCUUGCGCGAUUGAAUGAGCCGAUGUCGGAUUAGCUAGUUGGCGGGGUAAAGGCCCACCAAGGCGACGAUCCGUAGCUGGUCUGAGAGGAUGAUCAGCCACACUGGAACUGAGACACGGUCCAGACUCAUACGGGAGGCAGCAGGGGGGAAUAUUGAACAAUGGGCGCAAGCCUGACCCAGCCAUACCGGGGGGGUGAAGAAGGCCUUCGGGUUGUAAAGCCCUUUUUUUGGGAAAGAAAAGCAGCAGGUUAAUACCCCGUUGUUCUGACGGUACCCAAAGAAAAAGCACCGGCUAAUUUCGG